GCUAUCUGGGAACUUAGGCGACUGUGACCGCGACUGGAACCGAAAACUGCGACUAUGACUGGAGCCGUUGCGAUUCCGAUCCCAUUCCCAUUCCAUCCCAUCCCGUCCGAUGUGCGGGUGCUGUUUGGUGGGCGGGGGCCAGAUUGCAGCUUCAACAUUCGAAAUUCAUAAGCGAAACAGCUUUGUUUGACUGCCGUGUUGUUGUUGUUUCCAUUUCGCCGCUUUAUAUUUUUUUUUAUUUUUUUUUCUCUGUGCGAGUGACGCCGCCGAACUUGAACCGCUCAAGGCCAAAUUAUGUCGAUACACCCAGAAAGUGGAGGGUGCGAUUUGUGUUAUGAAUAUGCGUGCUUUCCGAUGUUUGUCGAGCGAAUCGAAGGCAAUGGGGUUGUUUAUGAAAAAAUUUACUACAGAUUUCGCAUGAUAAGGGGUCUCCCGAUCCAGAAUUCCAUGGAAAUACGUUACAGAUUCUACCAAUAUGUUUCCAAUUCAGUAAUAACAAGUGUACCAUGCUACUCAACUGAUGGUCAACCACAGUGUCAGCACCUAUUAAAACGAAUUAUUUUGUUGAUAUAUUAAUAUAUAAAUAAUAAUAAUUACACAUUAAGCCUAUUAAGACCAUGUGAUUGAAAUAUGACUAAUGCUAUUGCAUUCGUUCGUUGAAGGAUCCUUGGUAAUAUGCAUGGUAACUAAAUUAGUAAUAUUACUAAUGGGAAACAUUUUACACUCACUUCUGAUAAAAGCAACCUUAAUUCCAAGAAAUCACCCUCAACUCGUUGCUUUCGCAUUCCUGGAAAGUAAUCUCCUAUUACAUUUCCGUUCCGUUACAACGAUGGCCUUCAGAGGAGAACCCCAUCUUAUCGCGAGCAGAAAGACAAUCGUAAUUAGCUUUUGUGUGCGGUGCAGCCAGUCACUGGAGUUGGGCUAACUUACGCAACCUACGUCUUGGCCGCAAUGCAUGAGAUGCACAAUGCUACCUGCGGCUUACUGGCCACCAUUGCCUAAUCCUGGCCAAAAAAAUAAGGCGCCCAAAGGCUUAAGACCCAAAGAGGGAUUGCAAUUAUAAUCCCGCUCUGUUGCGGCGCACUUAACACCUAGACCAGACUAGACUGGACUGGCUAAAACCGAGGAGCCGGCGAAGGUGAUCAACUGAUCAAGUGGACAGGGUGAUCAGUGGUCAGUGGUCGGUAGUCGGAGAUUUGGCGGUGCUAAUUACCCCUAAGCCAACGGCAGACAUCAUAUAUCAGACAUCGCGGAUUGUCGGACUGACGCAUCUUGCUGUUGGCAUUGCGAAACCUUGCAUAAUCAUCGACAGACACAAAGAGCGUGUCGCGUGAUCACCGCUGUUGUCAGGCAGGGACUUAAUAUCGAAAUCCGAAUCUGUAUCUGGAGCUGUUGGUUGCCGUGAAUGGCCUAAUCCUUCAAUCAUUACAAAUUCGCUAAACGCAUUGUGUUAGGCGGCGACGCGUCGUCGUUUAAAUGUGAUAAUCGACUUUAUUGCAUUCAUUAUCAUUGUGUAUGUCAAUUUUCAGCCCAAAUAAUCCAGCCAGAAACUUUCCACCCGCCAGCAAAAGCACGGGAUCCAGCGUUUCGUCCGGAGAUUCACAUUCAGAUACAGAUACUUAUCCAUUGGCCACACGCUCGCUUCAUUCGGCGCGUGCUGCUCUGGUGUAUCUGCGCGAUUGCAUGAGCAACUUACGAUUUACCAGAUAUACCUAUAUGUAUAUUCCGAACUCCGGAUUUCAGUCACAAGUCGGCGACGUCACAGUCACACGAACACUCAAAACAGUGGGGCAUUCGAAUUGUAUUCACUUUAUUUGGCGAGUCGCUAAUUUCGAGUGCUAAUAAGCAUUUAGAGACAUCGUUAGUUAGUACGUGGCAGUCGGCGAGUGGGUCAUUUUCGGCCAGACAUCAAUAUGUUAUUUUGAUUGAUUACCCCAAAAAUUACUGGGCUGGUCAGCCUGGCUCAUCGGGUUAUUAUCUCUGCGAUGCGUCACAAGUUAUUCGCACAUUUGAUAUGCACCUAAAACUUACUAUAUAUUCCCCAAGCGGCCAUCGCAGGUUAAUAUCGGGUAUUUCCCCAAUUAUUCGACAGUGCCUUCGGUCUUGCCAAUUAAUCUUUGCUACGAAAAACAGCUCCGGCACUUUGGCAAUGUCACCGGGUUCAAUAUACAAAUUGUGCGAGAACUUUCAGCGCCCUUAGAAGAAUUUCAAUGGGGUGCUCUAAGAAUUUCAACAAUGACAAUGUCAUAUUGCUAUAUAUUGCUAUCACAGGAAUUUUUCCCUAUCUGCAGACAGUUGAAUGGCAAUGGUAGGAAUUUCAUCACAUUUUUGGCCAAUCCAUGAGUCAUUUUAUGAGAAUUUGAGCAUUAGUGCGUUGAACAUGACUAGAUUGAUGCUAUAAUGAAGGGUAUCUGGCAUGAGAUGAUUUCAUGUUUCUGCAGAGGCUCUUAUCUUAUCAAUGGAAGGGUAAUAAUGGCAGAGAGAUCUUUAUAAAAAAAAAGGCGAAAAAUAUUUGUUCUACUAAUAGAUCUAUAAAGCCAAUUUACUCAGCUACCCCUGCACUUUUAUGUAGACCCAAUAAAACAAAGCCAGUAGCUCUUGGCUGGACUGAUAUAUGGUGCUGCCAUAUUGCCCCAUUCGCCAAAUAAUUUCAUUUGUCAAAGUCACCUUAUCAAGAGGAUCCAUCAGCCCCGGACACCCGGCCAUUGCGGACUUUGCAUGAUGGGAAUUCCAUUACUCAUCCGCCAGCGAGUACACAUGCACAUGAGUUUGUCGAGCACUUGUGUCCGUCGUUAACACCUAAAUGCCCCAAACAGCCCGCGUGACCUGCUGGCGGAUAAGUACAUAUGAGCUCCCCAUAGCCGUUAGUUAAGCCCCAUCUUAAGUGCGCCUUUUUUUGGGGCGGCCCGCUUCAAAGCGGAUGUUUCCCACCAAAAUAACUGGCGGAUUUCCCCGGUCUGGGCUGGCAUUUCCCAAAACAUAUUAUUGAUUGCUGAAAUGUAAGCCACGUGCCCUAGUGUGAUAUAAUUGAUGAACUGAAACCAUAUCACGGCACACGCUUCGGAAAAUGUGGAACGGGACCCACUUGAAAGAUAAUCGGUAUUGAAUUUAUAGCCGAAAAAGAAAUAUUGAAAUAUGGAGCAUUUGGGAGUAUUUAUAUAGGUCGAUUUGAAAAUACCCUAAAGAUGUCUAACUUUACUUUCUGACCGUAGCUGACAGAAUAUACGACUCCCGCCAAUAGACGCCAUAUGUAUUUGAAUGCCAUCCAUUAGAUGACUCACAGUUGUAAUUUCAUAAAUCGACCCAAUAAACAUUUAAUGAUAAUGUCAUUGUCAACUCA